rnacentral:tRNA from 1 species
GUCUCCAUGGCUUAGCUGGUUUAGAGCGCCGGUCUCAUAUCUCGAAGAAUAUGAGCAGUUGACCAUAACAACUGCAUGCGAUCCGGAGAUCGCGAGUUCGAACCUCGCUGGGGACA